CAAGCCUUAGAUCAUUUUUGUUGCACUCCUGUCCAGACUCUAGUUUGCCCAUGUCUCUCCUGAAAUGCUGCAGUCCAAACUGGAUGCAGUCCUCCAGGUGAGGCCUCACCAGGACACAAAGCAAGGGGCCGCGUUAAAGCCAGGACUGGAGUUCAGGAGAGGAGGACGUGACCCAGAGGUUCAGCGAUGUACCCAAGGCUGAAUCAGCAAGUGCGAGGCUGCAUCAACACUGAACACACCACAAGACUCCCCAGAGCAGGGGAAAAGGUCUCAGAGCAGCUGGUACAGCUGCAUGAGUUGAGCCUCAUCCAACCCCCUGUCUCGCAGGAGGAAACUGGC
rnacentral:lncRNA from 1 species